rnacentral:rRNA from 1 species
UACGUAGGGCGCAAGCGUUGUCCGGAAUUACUGGGCGUAAAGAGCUCGUAGGUGGUUUGUCGCGUUGUUCGUGAAAACUCACAGCUCAACUGUGGGCGUGCGGGCGAUACGGGCAGACUAGAGUACUGCAGGGGAGACUGGAAUUCCUGGUGCAGCGGUGGAAUGCGCAGAUAUCAGGAGGAACACCGGUGGCGAAGGCGGGUCUCUGGGCAGUAACUGACGCUGAGGAGCGAAAGCGUGGGGAGCGAACAGG